UUUGCCACAUAGUUUGACAAAACCUCUUGGAGGAUGAAAUUUUUGUUGCGUUUAAUAUAAGUUUGCCAUUGGAUUUUCUCUACUUAUGCAACUACGCAAUUAUUGUGGUUGAUUGAAAGGCCCUCAAUCGGAUAAGCCUAUUUAUCGUGUAUUACUUGGAAAAUGAUACAUAUUUAGGUUGUUGUUGAACAACAUCACUCCUAACGUAUAUGAAGGAUCAAUACGGAUGGUUUAAAGGUGGAAUUAGGAAUAAUGAAACCUUGGUGCGAUCUAUAUGAGCAGUAAACUAGUACUAACUAGCGUAGUUCGGAAGAAUACAUUUAUUAAAUUGUUAUAAUUGCUCGGAAGAGAAUUACGACACCUAAAGUGCUUACUAUAUGUAAAGAGUAUUAGACGAAUUUAUAAGAGAUGUAACAUGAAGGAUUCUGAUAAGAGGGAAAAUCGUAAUCUUGGACGUUUCCAAUUUUGUCUACAAUAUUUGCUUUGUUAGUGAUAAAAUU
rnacentral:lncRNA from 1 species